CAGGUGUGCAAGUUAUUCAAUCGGGUAUUAACCUUGUAUACAGGACCUUAUAGAAUUUAAAAAAUCUGGGCAGGAUGUUACAAGGCCAUCGCAAAUAAAUCAAUAUUGGGGGGACUCAAGAAUAUAUUUGAAUAAAAUUUAAUUGCUUUUGCACUUUUCUAGUUAUUUCGUGUGUUUUGCUUAAACAAAUGGAAAUUAUAGGGGGGAGGUCAAGCCCUCCGCUUCUGACGGCCUUGUGUUACAUGUGACAUUGCCAGCUGUCUUUAAUAGUUUGCAAAAGUGAUGGGUGGGGGUGUAGGACAUUUCCAACCUGUACGAUUAUUUUUUCAAAACUUGUUUUGAAAAAACUAGCUAACAUCGAUUAAGUUAAGGUUGAAAAAAAUUUUCCCCGACAUAUUCUUGUUAAAACAUACUUAAAACCCUUUUUUGCACCAAUAUCUGCAAGAUUUAGGUUUAGGAAAUUUUUUCUCACACCAUUACUUAUAUCAAAAAACGUUCCAAAUUUUUUUUUAUUUUCAAAUUUGGGGGGCACCCUUACACUGGGGGCCCGGGGCAAAUUGCCUCCUCUGCCUCUCCCCCUGAUAGUAAACUUAUAACAACAACUCAAAUUAUAAUUUUCCCUAUUGAAAAGUCUCUGCACGAAUUUUUUUUCAAACUUUUGGUGCACAAGUAUUUUUUUCUGUUUCCCCUGCUCGAUUUUUAUUUUUGCUCCCCCCAUCACUUUUCUAAAGGUCCGCCCCUUAGUCCAUUACACCCUACUGUUAAUGACAAACAUGAGACUGAUCAUAAAGUUUGUCUCCACUAUGUGUUCUUUUAUGUCUUGUUGAAGUACUUGAAUAUCUGAAUUCUUUACAGAUAUGAUAUCCAUAUAAGGUUUUACUCCACUAUGUGUUCUUUUAUGUGACAAUAACUAAAUUGUUUGAUGUUGAAUAAUGUUUGUUACACAUCUUAGCAAGCCUCAUAUACUGUAGGAUGUGCUUGUCUGUAUCAUGAUUUGUUGCAGUGUACGUUGUUUAAACAAAUUUGCCCAUGUUAAUUGGAAUGUCGACAUGGCAUUCUCGACCAUUCUCACAUUUAUAAGGUAAUUGUGAGUGUGGUGGUGAAAAUGGAAGCAAUAUUGUUCACUAUUCAGGUAUAGCACUUUACUUUUUAUAAUUUAUAUCAAUUAUAUGAUAAAAUAUCGUACGUCUGGCAGUUUAACUUUUUAAAACUGCUAAUACUCAGCCUAUUAGAAUGCUGUUAAUGCAAUUGUGACCACACAUUGGCAUGUAUUUAUAUCCUGUUUAAGUAAUAUCAUAUUCAUCAAGCCAAGUAGUUAU